rnacentral:lncRNA from 1 species
AUAACAAUUUAUUGUACAUUUUAAAAUAACUAAAAGUAUAUAAUUACACUGUUUUUAAUACAAAGGAUAAAUGCUAGAGGUGAUAGAUACCUUAUUUACCCUAAUGUAGUUACUACAUAUUAUAGGCCUGAAUCAAAAUAUGCCAUAUAAAGCAUAAAUAUAUACAUAUACUAUAUACUCACAAAUACUAAUAAUAAAUUUCAGUAAGAAAAGAGAAUAAAAAUUUAACCUAUGGGAACAAUAUUCUUAAAUUCAUUUGCUGUUUAAAGCCACUGGCAAAGUGAUUACUAGAGACAUUAUUCCAUUAUGUACCAAAUAGUAUAUUGCUACCAUCUUUUACCUACACCUUUGAGUAAGGUGGGAUAGGUUAGUGGCAUAAUAAUGCUUCAUUAAAUGCACAAUAGUCUUAACAUGGUAAAAAACAUAAAAUUAAAUUCACACAUAAUCUAACAAUUUUUAAAUGCACUGCAUUUUAUUACAUAAAAGUACAAUAAGUAAAAUAUACGAAUUUAGUUUAAUAUACUUUUAUCAAUAAUUAUUUCUUGCACUAUAAUGUAGAAAAGUAUUACUCUGACCUACCUUAUACAUUACUUCAUAUAGGUUAACUACAAAGAGCCUCUCCACUUAUAUUUUCAUCAUGCAUCUUACAUUUUAAUGUCCUUACUUUUAUAGAAAAGGUCAUAAAUGCCCAAUUAAUAAAAAACUAUCUCUAAUAUCUCUGAUGCAGCAAAAAUUGAUCACAUGCUUUCACAUGUGAAUACAAUAAGAAUAAAAUAACAGCAUAAAGUAAUUUGAAAGCUGUAUUAUGUCAUUACCCACUUUUCAGAAAAAUUUUUUUAAGGAAACAAAUACACUUUUUUUUUUGAGAUGGAGUCUUGCUCUGUUGCCCAGGCUGGACAAUGGUGCAACCUCGGCUCACUGCAACCUCCACCUCCCAGGUUCAAGCAAUUCCAAUUCUCUGCCUCAGCCUCCCAAGCAGCUGGGAUUAUACGCGCCGGCCACCAUGCAUGGCUAAUUUUUGUAUUUUUAGUACAGACAGGGUUUCACCAUCUUGGCCAAGAUGGUCUUGAACUCCUGACCUCGUGAUCCACCUGCCUUGGCCUCCCAAAGUGUUGGGAUUACAGGCAUGAGCCACCACACGCAGCUGGAACAAGUAUACUUUUAAUGUAAUUACAAUGCUUCCAAAAAUCUGCUUUUAAAGUUAUACACAAAUAAAUUUUUUUUUUUCCUGGAGACAGAGUUUCACUCUUAUUGCCCAGGCUGGAGUGCAAUGAUCUCGACUCACCACAACCUCUGCCUCCAGGGUUCAAGCCUCCUGAGUAGCUGGGAUUACAGGCAUGUGCCACCAUGCAUGGCUAAUUUUAUAUUUUCAGUAGAGACUGGGGUUUCUCUCCAGUAUGAGUUCUCCUAUGUUUAUGGAGGCCUGCAGACCAUGUAAAGGCUUUGCCACAUUCUUCACAUUUGUAUGGUUUCUCUCCAGUAUGAAUUAUCUUAUGCAUAGUAAGGUGUGAGGAGCGGGUGAAGGCUUUGCCACAUUCUUCACAUUUGUAGGGUUUCUCUCCCGUAUGAAUCUUCUCAUGUUUACUAAGGAUCGAGGAUGAAAUAAAGGCUUUGCCACAUUUAUCACACGUGUACGGUUUCUCUCCAGUAUGAAUUUUCUUAUGUGAAGAAAGAGUUGCAGGAUGGUUAAAAGCUUUGUCACAUUCUUUACAUUUGUAGGGUUGCUCUCCAGUAUGGAUUAUCUUAUGUGUAGUAAGGGUAUAGGGGUACAUAAAGGCUUUGCCACAUUCUUCACAAAUGUAGGGUUUCUCUCCACUAUGAAUUUUCUUAUGUGUAGUAAAGCUAGAGAAGUACUUAAAGACUUUGCCACAUUCUUCACAUUUGUAGGGUUUCUCUCUAGUAUGAGUUAUCUUAUGUGUAGUAAGGUGUGAGGACCGGUUGAAGGCUUUGCCACAUUCUUCACAUUUGUAUGGUUUCUCUCCAGUAUCAAUUUUUUUAUGUGUAGUAUGGGUUGAGGACUGGUUAAAAGCUUUGUCACCUUCUAUAUAUUUCAAAGGUUUUUUUUCAGUAUGUCUUCUUUUAUGUCUCUUUGAAUUUGAAAAUUG